AUCACUUCAUUUUCGUUCUCUCUCCCUUAACAAUCAACAAAUAAACAAACCACCACCAACACCAACACAAAGCUCUUCUCAUCUCUUCAUUUCUUUUCUCAACAAACCACCACCACCCAACUGUUUUCGCUAUUCUUCCUCUCUUUUUGCAAACCACCACCACCAACAACAAAAACAAAUUUGUUAGCUAUUCUUCCUCUUUCCGGUUUGUCCACACCACCACCAUUUUCUAACUCAUAUAUUUCUUUUCUACAAAACUCAUCUCAUUAUUUUUCAGAUCUAUUAAGUUGAAGAACAGAUCUAUCAUUUUUCACCUC
rnacentral:lncRNA from 1 species